rnacentral:rRNA from 1 species
GACGUAGGUGGCGAGCGUUGUUCGGAAUCACUGGGCAUAAAGCGCACGUAGGCGGCCAAGUCAGUCAGGUGUGAAAUACCUCGGCUCAACCGAGGAACUGUGCCUGAUACUGCUUGGCUUGAGGUCCGGAGGGGAGAGUGGAAUUCCCGGUGGAGCGGUGAAAUGCGUAGAGAUCGGGAAGAACGCCGGCGGCGAAAGCGACUCUCUGGUCGGAAUCUGACGCUGAGGUGCGAAAGCUAGGGGAGCAAACGGG